AGGAUGAACGCUAGCUACAGGCUUAACACAUGCAAGUCGAGGGGCAGCAUGGUCUUAGCUUGCUAAGGCCGAUGGCGACCGGCGCACGGGUGAGUAACACGUAUCCAACCUGCCGUCUACUCUUGGACAGCCUUCUGAAAGGAAGAUUAAUACAAGAUGGCAUCAUGAGUCCGCAUGUUCACAUGAUUAAAGGUAUUCCGGUAGACGAUGGGGAUGCGUUCCAUUAGAUAGUAGGCGGGGUAACGGCCCACCUAGUCUUCGAUGGAUAGGGGUUCUGAGAGGAAGGUCCCCCACAUUGGAACUGAGACACGGUCCAAACUCCUACGGGAGGCAGCAGUGAGGAAUAUUGGUCAAUGGGCGAGAGCCUGAACCAGCCAAGUAGCGUGAAGGAUGACUGCCCUAUGGGUUGUAAACUUCUUUUAUAAAGGAAUAAAGUCGGGUAUGGAUACCCGUUUGCAUGUACUUUAUGAAUAAGGAUCGGCUAACUCCGUGCCAGCAGCCGCGGUAAUACGGAGGAUCCGAGCGUUAUCCGGAUUUAUUGGGUUUAAAGGGAGCGUAGAUGGAUGUUUAAGUCAGUUGUGAAAGUUUGCGGCUCAACCGUAAAAUUGCAGUUGAUACUGGAUAUCUUGAGUGCAGUUGAGGCAGGCGGAAUUCGUGGUGUAGCGGUGAAAUGCUUAGAUAUCACGAAGAACUCCGAUUGCGAAGGCAGCCUGCUAAGCUGCAACUGACAUUGAGGCUCGAAAGUGUGGGUAUCAAACAGGAUUAGAUACCCUGGUAGUCCACACGGUAAACGAUGAAUACUCGCUGUUUGUGAUAUACUGCAAGCGGCCAAGCGAAAGCGUUAAGUAUUCCACCUGGGGAGUACGCCGGCAACGGUGAAACUCAAAGGAAUUGACGGGGGCCCGCACAAGCGGAGGAACAUGUGGUUUAAUUCGAUGAUACGCGAGGAACCUUACCCGGGCUUAAAUUGCAGAUGAAUUACGGUGAAAGCCGUAAGCCGCAAGGCAUCUGUGAAGGUGCUGCAUGGUUGUCGUCAGCUCGUGCCGUGAGGUGUCGGCUUAAGUGCCAUAACGAGCGCAACCCUUGUUGUCAGUUACUAACAGGUUCCGCUGAGGACUCUGACAAGACUGCCAUCGUAAGAUGUGAGGAAGGUGGGGAUGACGUCAAAUCAGCACAGCCCUUACGUCCGGGGCUACACACGUGUUACAAUGGGGGGUACAGAGGGCCGCUACCACGCGAGUGGAUGCCAAUCCCCAAAACCUCUCUCAGUUCGGACUGGAGUCUGCAACCCGACUCCACGAAGCUGGAUUCGCUAGUAAUCGCGCAUCAGCCACGGCGCGGUGAAUACGUUCCCGGGCCUUGUACACACCGCCCGUCAAGCCAUGGGAGCCGGGGGUACCUGAAGUGCGUAACCGCGAGGAGCGCCCUAGGGUAAAA
rnacentral:rRNA from 1 species